rnacentral:lncRNA from 1 species
GGAUGAUGAGGAAGAAGAUCAUCCCAAUCUGCCUCAUACGGAUGAAGAUCAUCAAGAACGUCAUAACCUGUCCGACACAACUGAUGAGGAAGAAGAUCAUCCCAAUCUGCCUCAUACGGAUGAAGAUCAUCAAGAACGUCAUAACCUGUCCGACACAACUGAUGAGGACCGUCAUAGCUCGCCCGACUAACUGAUGAAGAUCGCUCUAGCAUACCCCCUACAACUGACAAAGAUCACACCAAGUUGCCUCAUAUAACCAAUGAUGAUCAUCCUAACCUAUCUGGUAUAGCUAGUGAGGAUCAUCUCAAUCUGCCCCAUAUAACUGAUGAAGACUCUCCUAACCUGCCUCAUAUAACCGAUGAAGAUCAUCCCAACCUAUCUCAUAUAACUGAUGAAGAUCGAUCCAGCUUGUCCCAUAUAACAGCUGAAGACCAUCCCAAUUCAUCCCAUGUAACUAAUGAAGAUCGUCGCCUCAUAUAAUUAAUGAAGAUCAUCCAUCUCAUAUAACCGAUGAAGAACACUCUGACCUAUCCCAUAAUCCAGGCCUUAUAACCGAU